GAUGAACGCUGGCGGCGUGCCUAAUACAUGCAAGUCGAGCGAACAGACGAGGAGCUUGCUCCUCUGACGUUAGCGGCGGACGGGUGAGUAACACGUGGAUAACCUACCUAUAAGACUGGGAUAACUUCGGGAAACCGGAGCUAAUACCGGAUAAUAUAUUGAACCGCAUGGUUCAAUAGUGAAAGACGGUUUUGCUGUCACUUAUAGAUGGAUCCGCGCCGCAUUAGCUAGUUGGUAAGGUAACGGCUUACCAAGGCAACGAUGCGUAGCCGACCUGAGAGGGAGAUCGGCCACACGGGAACUGAGACACGGUACAGACUCCUACGGGAGGAAGCAGUAGGGAAUCUUCCGCAAUGGGCGAAAGCCUGACGGAGCAACGCCGCGGGAGUGAUGAAGGUCUUAGGAUCGGAAAACUCUGUUAUUAGGGAAGAACAAAUGUGUAAGUAACUAUGCACGUCUUGACGGUACCUAAUCAGAAAGCCACGGCUAACUACGUG
rnacentral:rRNA from 1 species